CUGGCUCAGGAUGAACGCUAGCGGCAGGCUUAACACAUGCAAGUCGAGGGGCAUCGGGAGUAGCAAUACUUGCCGGCGACCGGCGCAAGGGUGCGUAACGCGUGAGCAACAUGCCCGUAUCAGGGGGAUAAUCCAUGGAAACGUGGUCUAAUACCCCAUAGUAAUUAUGUAAGGCAUCUUAUAUAAUUUAAAGCUUUGGUGGAUACGGAUUGGCUCGCGUGACAUUAGCUGGAUGGUAAGGUAACGGCUUACCAUGGCUACGAUGUCUAGGGGUUCUGAGAGGAAGGUCCCCCACACUGGAACUGAGACACGGUCCAGACUCCUACGGGAGGCAGCAGUGAGGAAUAUUGGACAAUGGAUGGAAAUCUGAUCCAGCCAUGCCGCGUGCAAGGAAGACGGCCCUAUGGGUUGUAAACUGCUUUUGUAUGGGAGCAAUAAGGGCUACGUGUAGUCCGAUGAGAGUACCAUACGAAUAAGCACCGGCUAACUCCGUGCCAGCCGCAGC
rnacentral:rRNA from 1 species